CAGAUCGUGGAGGGCACAGCUGCUGUUCUGACAACUCCAUUUUACACGACAGCUACCGCUAAGAAGACAAUGUUUAGGACAAUGCGUGGGGGGUCUGUUUGUUCAUCGCAGUAGUUGAGAGUUUUUUUAACUUCGAUAUUGACGUCCUACCAGAAAAUGAAUAAUUAAUCUAGUUUAAAAACUGCCGCUUUGACAGUCGAUGACGGUGGCUCGACAGCGGGGAACAAAAGUUGAAGCGACUUCUCGGACAGCUGCCAUACUUGGUUCUUCAUCAGGCUCCAUGCCACCUCCUGGAACAAUCCAUCUGUCUGGAUACCGACUGCUGCUAACCAACAAAACCUGGAGUAACAAAAAAAGUAUUCGCUUAGGAAGAGUAUUGGUGAUUUUCUAUCAUCUUCAAUAUAAUUUAAAAUGAAUCAAAUAUGCCCUCAUGAAGAACCGAAACACAGAACAAUCGUGUUGCAGGGUGGAGUUCAAAUAAAGAAAGUUGACCAUAAAGCCAUCAGCACGAAGACUUCUACGAUGUCUCAAACAGUUAAAUACAUUAUGCUGAACAAUAUCAAACAAAUAUAAACCACGUUCCUGUUUGUGUCA